rnacentral:rRNA from 1 species
UGUAGGCUGCAACUCGCCUACAUGAAGCCGGAAUUGCUAGUAAUGGCAGGUCAGCAUACUGCCGUGAAUACGUUCCCGGGCCUUGUACACACCGCCCGUCACACCAUGAGAGUUGGGGAUACCCGAAGCCUGUGAGCCAACUUUAAUAGAGGCAGCAGUCGAAGGUAGAAUCAAUGAUUGGGGUGAAGUCGUAACAAGGUACC